rnacentral:tRNA from 1 species
GGGGCUAUAGUGUAGCUUGGACUAAGAAUAAACCUUAGGAGUGCUUAUCAUCGAUGGUUUGGGACCAUCAGACCUCGGUUCAAAUCCGAGUAGCCCCA